UCCUUCAGUGCCGAGCUCUCAGAAGCACGAAUCGCUGCAGGUCUGAUGGCUGCCUUGCACAGGACAGCAGUGAUGGGGAUAAGGAGCUGAUCCACCCUCCGGCCCUCAUUUCUCCUGGCUCUGCUGAAGAUGCUGACCUGAGCCCAGCAGCCAUCGCAGUCCCCGGCCUGGAUUGGGACCCAGUGUCUUUGCAGUGCAGCCCAGCCAAGCGCAGUCCGAGUGCCCGGCCAGCAGCAGCUCCACGAGGAGCAGCAGCCCGCUGAUCAUCGGGGGCUCAGUUUGCCAUCAGGGAGUGUCAGCGGUCGUCUGAAGGCUUCGUUGGCUGUCAGAGGGCUCCACUGAUCAUCAGAGAUCUUCACUGAGCCCCCCUGAAGAUAGCAAAGGCCAGAAGAAGAAUAAGGCAGCAGAACUUAUGCUCACGCUGCGUACAAAUGCUACAGGAGCAGAAACAAACCGGGACGCUCUGGGUUCCUCCCGGGAAGGCAAAACUGCACAGAGACGCCCCAGCUGUGUUUGGCAGCGCCCUCCCUGCUCCUCGUGUGAUCCCACUGCUGAGCCAGGAUGCAGCUGCCCAGUGCUGCAGAGCACCGUCUAGAGCUGGGCCGGGACCUCCUCCCCUUCCUCUCCUGCAGCUCGGCGGGCAGCCUCACCUCCUCCUGUGGCAGAGCUGCUGAUCCCACAGAUGCCAUCUGGAUGCUCCUCUAACCCCGAGCUCCUGCCCACCCUGCCAAGAAAAAGCAAACCAACCCCCCACAGCAGGGAAUGCACACAGCUUCACGCCGCUCCCCUUCACCCUGUCCUACCUCAGAGACCAAAGGAGCCCUGAUCUGGAAAUUGGCACAAAACACAGCAGCGUCACUUGAAAAUGCAAGUUGUGUUUUCGUUGUCAGGGGUAUUACAGCCCAAAGGUUGAAAUAAAGUUCAUGCAAAGGAGGGUAAAUUACAGGUGUUCCAUGCACAAAAGCAAAGAGGAACGGUGUGAGGGUGUUUCCAAUGAGACCCCAGAGGGAAACCGAGGCAAACAGUAACUGCUACACAACCAAUGGUGCAGAGAGAGAAUUCACUGCCAGGAGCAGCUCACAGUCCAGUGAGAAAGAUUCACAGCACUGGCUGCAGGGUUGUCUUUUAAUUAAAAACAAUAUACAAAAACAA